rnacentral:rRNA from 1 species
CCUACGGGAGGCAGCAGUGGGGGAUAUUGCACAAUGGGGGAAACCCUGAUGCAGCGACGCCGCGUGGGCGAAGAAGUAUUUCGGUAUGUAAAGCCCUAUCAGCAGGGAAGAAGAAAUGACGGUACCUGAGUAAGAAGCACCGGCUAAAUACGUGCCAGCAGCCGCGGUAAUACGUAUGGUGCAAGCGUUAUCCGGAUUUACUGGGGGUAAAGGGAGCGCAGGCGGCACGGCAAGCCUGAUGUGAAAGCCCGCGGCCCAACCGCGGGACUGCAUUGGGAACUACCGGGCUGGAGUGCCGGAGAGGUAGGCGGAAUUCCUAGUGUAGCGGUGAAAUGCGUAGAUAUUAGGAGGAACACCAGUGGCGAAGGCGGCCUACUGGACGGUGACUGACGCUGAGGCUCGAAAGCGUGGUGAGCAAACAGGAUUAGAUACCCCGGUAGUC